AUUAAGAAGGCCUCAUAUUUAGUAUACUGGAUUUGAUAAUAAGAGAGUGCACGUGUCACGUUUUUGUUGGGCAAACCGAGUAACGAAGAAUUUUUUUUUUUUUUUAUGGUCGAUCGUUUUUUUUCAUUCUCUUCCUCUCCCUCUCUCUGUCUCUCUCUCUCUCGAUCGAAGUGGCGAAUUGACCAUGGAAGAAGAUGGAAUCAGAGGAGAUUCGGGUCGGAUGAGAUGCGAAGGAGAUUGAAUCGGCGGAGACUAAUCGGAGGAGAUUGAGAAACACAAGAAGAGUAUGUCGCAAUCACCCUCACCUAAGGACAGCGAGACGCACUAAAGCUUUUCUGAUCAACGUUCAUUUAUGAAUCUGGGGAACUUUUUGGGUGAAGAUUUUGUAGAAUCGUGAUGGGUUUAUCGAAAGGUAGAUUGAAAGCAUGGUUUAAUAAGAAAAUCAUUGAUCCUCUUCCUCCAGGUCUUGUGUAGGUACUGCCUUCGAGUCAUGUGGUUCAGGAAAUGGAAGAAGGGUUUUCUAUGAAUCUUCCAAGAUUCUUGCUCAGAAAAUGACUGUCGCUGUAAGUUUAAGUAACCUUGUUCCUUUGUGUAUAAUGACCCGGACAACUUGGGAUACUGCUGUUUCUUAUGAUCGGAUUCUAAUUUAGGCUCUGAAAUAUCUCAUGCUAUGCACAAGAUGUGUGUGAGCUCGGUUAGCUUUGUAGAACCGAUCCUCCCAUUUCAUAACCAUGCCAAGAUGCUGGUUGUUUAGUGUUAGCGAACUCCUUUUGGUUCAAAGUCUUGAUCCUUUCUUCAUGUAUUUUGAUAUGACUCAAUACGUCUUCUUUGUCUGCUUCAUCAAAGCUUGAUGUCUGAUCCAGAAGUGAGUCUAAUUUUGCUUAACUUUGGAUAAGUGACUAAUUUUGGUUUUGCUGGUUGUAUCAUGUAGAUGGAGAAAAUUGAUCUGACAUUGUUUUGUUUUGGACAA